GUUCAGAGCAGAGAUCAGUGUGUGGAAACCAGAGCAGGAGAUUCAGACAGAAAAAAGGAAGAGUUUAUCCUGUGGAGAGAAGACUUGCUGCCUAAAUUGUUAAAUCAGAAUGUUUGCUCUCAUCUGGGUGAUUCUGCUGUUUGCUGACAGAGUUGCAGGUUCUAGAACAGGUGAGUCAAGCUGUGCAAAGGAAAAAUACAAUAUCACGCUAAGUGAAAACAAUGUAACCUCAGAGGCUGGAGUAUGUGUUUUGCACCGUUACUUUACUACAGAAGAUGGUUUGAUGUCCAAAGUGUAAUUUGGUACAAGCACAAUGAAAGUCUAAUAAAACAAUAUUUGACUCCAGCAAACACAAAACUUCUGACUCUGAGAGUAA